ACUCAAAGGAAUAGACGGGGGCCCGCACAAGCAGCGGAGCGUGUGGUUUAAUUCGAGGUUACGCGAAGAACCUUACCAGGGAUUGACAUGCAGGUAGUAGUGAAGCGAAAGUGGAACGACCCUUCGGGGAGCCUGCACAGGUGAUGCAUGGCUGUCGUCAGCUCGUGCCGUGAGGUGUUUGGUUAAGUCCAGUAACGAGCGCAACCCUUACCGUCAGUUACAUGUUGUCUGACGGGACUGCCGGUAUCAAGCCGGAGGAAGGUGGGGAUGACGUCAAGUCAGCAUGUCCUUUAUACCCUGGGCUACACACACGCUACAAUGGCCGGUACAAUGGGUCGCCAAGCCGUGAGGCGGAGCCAAUCCUCCAAAGCCGGUCUCAGUUCGGAUCGCAGGCUGCAACCCGCCUGCGUGAAGUCGGAGUUGCUAGUAACCGCAGGACAGCUAUACUGCGGUGAAUACGUUCCCGGGCCUUGUACACACCGCCCGU
rnacentral:rRNA from 1 species